rnacentral:Y_RNA from 15 species
AGUUUGUCUGGGAGUUGUGGGUUAUUGAUCAUUAAUAUCAUAUUCUACCCCCACCACUGUGUUUGACUGGCUUUCUUUUUC